AUGAUUGCCGGCUCCACCAAUGACUGGCUUGCCCUCGGCCUCGGCCAGAAGCACACCAACGACGAGCAAACAAAGCACUACGUCGUCUAUAACUAUGUCUUGCACAAUCCUUUCUCAAACAGGUCUCUGCCGCUGCCUGAGCUCGACGCCGUCAUCGUCCAGGACAGCAACAGGAAGCAUCCGCUCAUUGUAUUCCAGCAAGGGAAGGGUGUGUGGUCACCGGAGCCAUGGGCAGCUCCAUAUACCUACCUCAUUGACAUCGCGUUUCUUGGUGAUAAACUAUAUGCCAUCACCACGGCUGAGGACCUCAUCCCCCUUGAUCUUGCAUUGGAUGAAGACGGAAGGCCCGUGGUUGCAAUGGGAACACGUGUCAUCAAGAAAUCACUCCGCUAUGAUUGUUAUGAAUUAUUGGCCACUUUUGAUGAGGAGGACGAUGACCAGAAUGAAGAAGAGGAAGACGAUGAAGAUGAGGAAGAGGGAGAAAAUAAUCAUAUGCCCUGCUAUAUCAAUUGCUCAGAAGAAAUUGCCAGAGACGUCGAACCUGGUAAUAUCACCGUAAUUAGCUGGCACCUCAUCGAGUCACAUGGGAAGCUACUCAUGGUAAGGCAUCGACGGCAAUUCCAUACAGAUACUUUGUGGGUCACUCUCAAGGUGGAUGUUCUUGAAGCGGACUUUAGCACACACGAUUGGGUGCCACUGACCGGAGGGCUAGGCGGCGGUCAAGCACUCUUUGUUAGCAUGGACUUCUCCAAGUCUGUCUCGGCACCUUGUGGAGAGGUGGAGGAAGAUGCAAUUUAUUUUAUGGACACGAGAGAUGUGUUCAACAUGAAGUCCGGUACUUCUAGCCAGUCAAAGUUCGAUAGGGGGGCAACAUGGGUCUUCCCUCCGGAGUACCAGCUUUAA
rnacentral:rRNA from 1 species